rnacentral:lncRNA from 1 species
UGUAUGUCUGUGUGUGUGUCAGUAUGUCUGCCAGUAUAUAUUUGUGUGUAGUGACUUUGUGUGUCAGUAUGUAUCUGUGAAUGUUUUAAUGUCUGUCUGUGUGUGUAUGUGCCAGUACGUCUGUCAGUGUGAUUGCGGGUUGGACGUAAUUGGGAGGUGAGGCAGUGGCAGGGCCCAUGGGGCCCAAGAAAAUGCAUUGCCCAGGGUCCUAAUCAUAUUAUAGACGGCCCUG